UUGCUAGAAGAUGACGAGUGGCGGACGGGUGAGUAAUGCUUGGGAACUUGCCUUUGCGAGGGGGAUAACAGUUGGAAACGACUGCUAAUACCGCAUAAUGUCUUCGGACCAAACGGGGCUUCGGCUCCGGCGCAAAGAGAGGCCCAAGUGAGAUUAGCUAGUUGGUAAGGUAACGGCUUACCAAGGCGACGAUCUCUAGCUGUUCUGAGAGGAAGAUCAGCCACACUGGGACUGAGACACGGCCCAGACUCCUACGGGAGGCAGCAGUGGGGAAUAUUGCACAAUGGGGGAAACCCUGAUGCAGCCAUGCCGCGUGUGUGAAGAAGGCCUUCGGGUUGUAAAGCACUUUCAGUUGUGAGGAAAAGUUAGUAGUUAAUACCUGCUAGCCGUGACGUUAACAACAGAAGAAGCACCGGCUAACUCCGUGCCAGCAGCCGCGGUAAUACGGAGGGUGCGAGCGUUAAUCGGAAUUACUGGGCGUAAAGCGCACGCAGGCGGUUUGUUAAGCUAGAUGUGAAAGCCCCGGGCUCAACCUGGGAUGGUCAUUUAGAACUGGCAGACUAGAGUCUUGGAGAGGGGAGUGGAAUUCCAGGUGUAGCGGUGAAAUGCGUAGAUAUCUGGAGGAACAUCAGUGGCGAAGGCGACUCCCUGGCCAAAGACUGACGCUCAUGUGCGAAAGUGUGGGUAGCGAACAGGAUUAGAUACCCUGGUAGUCCACACCGUAAACGCUGUCUACUAGCUGUGUGUGCCUUUAAGGCGUGCGUAGCGAAGCUAACGCGCUAAGUAGACCGCCUGGGGAGUACGGCCGCAAGGUUAAAACUCAAAUGAAUUGACGGGGGCCCGCACAAGCGGUGGAGCAUGUGGUUUAAUUCGAUGCAACGCGAAGAACCUUACCUACACUUGACAUGCUGAGAAGUUACUAGAGAUAG
rnacentral:rRNA from 1 species